UAACGAAUCUUCCGCAAUGCGCGAAAGCGUGACGGGGCAAUGCCGCGUGUGGGAUGAAGCCCUUCGGGGUGUAAACCACUGUCAGGGUCCGCCAACAACAUGAGGAGACCCAAAGGAAGAGCCGGCUAACUCUGUGCCAGCAGCCGCGGUAAUACAGAGGGCUCGAGCGUUAAUCGGAAUCACUGGGCUUAAAGCGUGCGUAGGCGGACUUGAAGGCACCUUGUGAAAUCCCUCAGCUCAACUGAGGAACUGCUUGGUGAACCACGAGUCUUGAGGUCGGUAGAGGCGGUCGGAACGAUAGGUGGAGCGGUGAAAUGCGUAGAUAUCUAUCGGAACGCCAAUGGUGCAGACAGGCCGCUGGGCCGCACCUGACGCUGAGGCACGAAAGCGUGGGGAUCAA
rnacentral:rRNA from 1 species